rnacentral:rRNA from 1 species
AUGGCGACCGGCGCACGGGUGAGUAACACGUAUCCAACCUGCCGAUAACUCGGGGAUAGCCUUUCGAAAGAAAGAUUAAUACCCGAUGGCAUAAUUAGACCGCAUGGUCUUAUUAUUAAAGAAUUUCGGUUAUCGAUGGGGAUGCGUUCCAUUAGGCAGUUGGUGAGGUAACGGCUCACCAAACCUUCGAUGGAUAGGGGUUCUGAGAGGAAGGUCCCCCACAUUGGAACUGAGACACGGCCCAG